rnacentral:rRNA from 1 species
UGGGCCCGGUGAAUCAUCCAGCGUUCUCGCUGGUGCACUUUGCCGGGCUCAGGCCAGCAUCAGUUUGCCCCGGGGGAUAAAGGCUUUGGGAAUGUGGCUCCCUCGGGAGUGUUAUAGCCCAUUGCACAAUACCCUGGGGCGGACUGAGGUUCGCGCAUCUGCAAGGAUGCUGGCGUAAUGGUCAUCAGCG